rnacentral:rRNA from 1 species
UCCGUAGGCGGGCGACUAAGUCAGAGGUGAAAUCCCACAGCUUAACUGUGGAACUGCCUUUGAUACUGGUUGUCUUGAGUUAUAGUGAAGUAGAUAGAAUAUGUAGUGUAGCGGUGAAAUGCGUAGAUAUUACAUAGAAUACCGAUUGCGAAGGCAGUCUACUAACUGUAUACUGACGCUAAUGGACGAAAGCGUGGGGAGCGAACAGGAUUAGAUACCCUGGUAGUCC